UUGUUCAUCCUGAUAUUGGCCUAUAAUUUUCUUUUCUUGUGGCACCCUUAUCUGCUUUUGCUAUCUGGGUAAUGCUGGCCUUUUCAAAUGAGGUGUGAAGCACUUCC